AAUGAGACCCAUAAAGAAUGAGCUUGACCUUUUUUCUUAACUGUUUAAUCUGGUUCAGUGAAGGAGUUCAGGCAAUGGAAUAGUUCAACCCGAGUUCAAUCUGUCUCAUUCAUCAUAAGAAGUUCAGUCUGUGUUUACAGUUCA